UUUCUUAGGGGUCGUUCGAAUCCCUGCCGGCCUCUCCCCUCCCGCUCCCUGCCUCUCGCCACAGCCUCGGCCUUCGCCCUCGGGAUUGAAGACCUACCCCACGGGCAGGAGCCAAGUCCGUGCCUUUGGGAUGGGAGUCGGGGCCGCGGAGCUCUGGAGGUCUUCUCUGUUGGUUGAAAUGUCUAUGAUUUUAUCUGCCUCAGUCAUUCGUGUCAGAGAUGGACUGCCACUUUCUGCUUCUACUGAUUAUGAACAAAGCACAGGAAUGCAGGAGUGCAGAAAGUAUUUUAAAAUGCUUUCGAGGAAACUUGCUCAACUUCCUGAUAGAUGUACACUGAAAACUGGACAUUAUAACAUUAAUUUUAUUAGCUCUCUGGGAGUGAGCUACAUGAUGUUGUGCACUGAAAAUUACCCAAAUGUUCUCGCCUUCUCUUUCCUGGAUGAGCUUCAGAAGGAGUUCAUUACUACUUAUAACAUGAUGA
rnacentral:lncRNA from 1 species